ACUCCUACGGGAGGCAGCAGUGGGGAAUAUUGCACAAUGGGGGAAACCCUGAUGCAGCAACGCCGCGUGGAGGAUGACACAUUUCGGUGCGUAAACUCCUUUUAUAUGGGAAGAUAAUGACGGUACCAUAUGAAUAAGCACCGGCUAACUCCGUGCCAGCAGCCGCGGUAAUACGGAGGGUGCAAGCGUUACUCGGAAUCACUGGGCGUAAAGCGCGCGCAGGCGGCUAUUUAAGUUGGAUGUGAAAGCCUACGGCUCAACCGUAGAACUGCAUCCAAAACUAUUUAGCUAGAGUGUGGGAGAGGAAGAUGGAAUUAGUUGUGUAGGGGUAAAAUCCGUAGAGAUAACUAGGAAUACCAAAAGCGAAGGCAAUCUUCUGGAACACUACUGACGCUGAGGCGCGAAAGCGUGGGGAGCAAACAGGAUUAGAUACCCUGGUAGUCCACGCAGUAAACGAUGAAUGUUAGUCGUCGGGGGCCUAGUGUCUUCGGUGAUGCAGCUAACGCAUUAAACAUUCCGCCUGGGGAGUACGGUCGCAAGAUUAAAACUCAAAGGAAUAGACGGGGACCCGCACAAGUGGUGGAGCAUGUGGUUUAAUUCGAAGAUACGCGAAGAACCUUACCUAGCCUUGACAUAUAUUAGAAUCUUUCAGAGAUGAGAGAGUGCCUUCGGGAGCUUUUAUACAGGUGCUGCACGGCUGUCGUCAGCUCGUGUCGUGAGAUGUUGGGUUAAGUCCCGCAACGAGCGCAACCCUCGUCACUAGUUACUAACGGUUCGGCCGAGGACUCUAGUGAGACUGCCUUCGCAAGGAGGAGGAAGGUGAGGACGACGUCAAGUCAUCAUGGCCCUUACGGCUAGGGCAACACACGUGCUACAAUGGCCAGGACAGUGAGACGCGAUACCGCGAGGUGGAGCAAAUCUAUAAA
rnacentral:rRNA from 1 species